UACGAAGGGGGCUAGCGUUGCUCGGAAUCACUGGGCGUAAAGCGCACGUAGGCGGAUUGUUAAGUCAGGGGUGAAAUCCUGGAGCUCAACUCCAGAACUGCCUUUGAUACUGGCGAUCUUGAGUCCGGGAGAGGUGAGUGGAACUGCGAGUGUAGAGGUGAAAUUCGUAGAUAUUCGCAAGAACACCAGUGGCGAAGGCGGCUCACUGGCCCGAUACUGACGCUGAGGCACGAAAGCGUGGGGAGCAAAGCAGG
rnacentral:rRNA from 1 species